AUGGAGGGCUCCCUUUUCUUACUUUUGGCACAUAUUGAUUGAAGGAAGUCAAAAAUGAAAAGGGUCCAGAGGGGGGUAAUGAUAAUCGUCAUCUUCUUAGUGGACACGACACUGAGGAUGGAAGGGGACGGUUGAGGUUUGUCCAGCAGCACAUGGAAAGGGGAUUAACUUCUUCAUUUAAGGACACACGAGGGAGGGAAGAAGAAGGGAGGGACAGAAUAAGCUAGACACGGUCCAGCAGAGAUAAACAGAGGGCUUGAACAGCAGAGGAGAAACACAGUACAGAGAUUGAUUCAAGGUAUACAAAGGAAGUCUUCAAGAGAUGUUGUCGAGGAGGUUCGCUUAGAG
rnacentral:sRNA from 1 species